GUUAUCCCAGCACUUUGGGAGGCCGAGGUGGGCGGAUCACAAGGUCAGGAAUUUGAGACCAGCCUGACCAACACGGUGAAACUCUGUCUCUCCCAAAAAUACAAAAAUUAGCCAGGCGUGGUGGCGCAUGCCUGUGAUCCCAGCUACUCACGAGGCUGAGGCAGGAGAAUUGCUUGAACCCAGGAGGUAGAGGUUGCAGUGAGCCGAGAUCACGCCAUUGCGCUCCAGUCCAGGUGACAGAGUGAGACUCCGUCUCAAAAAAAAAAAAAAAAGAAAAGAAAGAAAAUUCAAAUAUGGCACAAUCAUUGUAAAAACAAACAAGCAAAAAACAAAAAACAAACAAACAAAAUGCAAACAUGGCUCAUGCCUGUAAUCUCAGCACUUUGGGAAGCAGAAGCAGCAGGAUUGUUUGAGGCCAGGAGUUCGAAACCAGCCUGGCUAACAUAGCAAGUCCUUGUCUCUACAAAAGAAAACUUAAAAAAAAAAAAAUUAGCCAAGGGUGGUGACCCUUGGCUGCAGUCCCAGCUACUUGGGAGACUGAGGCAGAGGAUUACUUGCUCCCAGAAGGUUGAGGGUGCAGUGAGCCGUGAUCAUGCCACUGCUCUCCAGCCUGGGUGACAGAGCAAGGCCUGGUCUCAAAAAAAAAAAAAAAAAAAGCAAACACUGUGAAGGCAUAGAGAGUAACAACGUCCCUCAGCCCCUCUCCCUAGAGGAAAGUACUGUCAGCAGCUUGGCACGUACUCAUCCUGAGUCCAAGCCCUCAGCCCUCAUCCCAUGGGCACUGAGGAGCCCCUUUAACCACAGAACCUCCAUUAUACGAACUCUUGGCCACCUGCUGUUCAAGACUUCCAGUCCCUCCUCUACCGCUAGCCCAAAGCUCCCCCAGGCACAGUUGAAAGCCCUGGACUGUGUCCCUGGACUCAGGGCAACCCUCUCGGCCUCCUCUCCUUUGGACAUCAGUAGCAUCCUCUGCCUGAGAAGCCCCUCUCUCCACUGCCCUGCUCUGGGAAGAGCACUGUGACCUUUUAUCUCACUCACCUCUUCCAUGUCUCAGAUCCAUCCUGAGCCAGCAGCAGUCUAGAAGAGCCAUCAAGAGUAGGGCCUCGGCCGGGCGCGGUGGCUCAAGCCUGUAAUCCCAGCACUUUCGGAGGCCCAGGUGGGUGGAUCACGAGGUCAGGAGAUCGAGACCAUCCUGGCUAACAUGGUGAAACCCCGUCUCUACUAAAAAUACAAAAAAAACUAGCCGGGCGUGGUGGCGGGCGCCUGUAGUCCCAGCUACUCGGAGGCUGAGGCGGGAGAAUGGCGUGAACCCAGGAGGCGGAGCCACUGCGCUCCAGCCUGGGCGACAGAGUGAGACUCCGUCUCAAAAAAGAGUAGGGCCUCGAGAGGCCAGGCUCACGCCUGUAAUCCCAGCACUUUGGGAGGCCAAGGCGGGUGGAUCACCUGAGGUCAGGAGUUCGAGACCAGCCUGGGCAGCCCCGUCUCUACUAAAAAUACAAAAUCAGCCAGGUACAGUGGCAUGCACCUGUAAUCCCAGCUACUGGGGAGGCUGAGGCAGAAGAAUCACUUGAACCUGGGAAGCAGAGGUUGCCAUGCCACUGCACUCCAGCCUGAGGGACAGAGUGAAACUGGGUUUCAAAAAAACAAUAGGUCUUUGGCUGAGUGCAGUGGCUCACACCUGUAAUUCCAGCACUUUGGGAGGCCAAGGCCAGAAGAUUGCUCGAGCCCAGGAGUUUGAGACCAGCCUGGGCAACAUGGUGAAACACCUCUACAAAACAUGUAAAAAUGAGCCAGGUAUAGUGGUGCAUACCUGUAGUUCCAGUUAUUCAGGAGGCUGAGGUGGGAGGAUCACUUGAGCCCCAGGAGGUCAAGGCUGUAGUGAGCCAUGAUCAUGCUACUGCACUCCAGCCUGGGCAACAGAGCAAAACCCUGUCUCAAAAAAGAAAAAAAAAAAAAAAAAAA
rnacentral:lncRNA from 1 species